rnacentral:misc_RNA from 1 species
CAACUAUCAGUUUUUACCCUUGUACAGCAGACCACCAUUAGUUAACUGCAAAUAGAUUAGGUUAUGGUCCGAUUUAAAACUAAAACCAGAUGGGUUCAACCCAAAACCAAUCAAAAUCGACUUUGAAUCAGCCUGAUACCAGUCCGAAACCAGGCAGGUUCGGCUUAAUUUUAAGCCAAAAGCUAGUUCAACCAUUAGACUUGAUCAAAAUCAAGGACCUUGAGAUCUAGUUCCAGUCCCCUGAACGCUGAACCGGAACUGACAUGCUGGCCAUCCCUAACUGCAACUGCUGAACCAGAAAGGCCCUUCAUCUUAGUUCUGAAAUCCAUUCUAUGAACAAGGAUAAAUUUCACCAAUACAUAUGAAAGCAAAAGUCCAAUGAAGAUAAUGUUUCAGGGAAGAAGUUUCAGGAACUACUACAGUAAAUUCUUCGUAUAGAACUAGUUCUGAAAACCAUCCAAUGAAGAUGAUGUUUUCACCAAAGCAUGUGAAAGAAGAGAGCAAAAGUUCAACACUUGGGUGGAGAUAAAACAUAGUUUGUGGAGCUAAAAUGGAUCAUUAGAUUAAACAUUGAUACAGGAAGCAAACAUCACAGAUAUACACAAAAUCCAGUGAUUUCAACAUAAUUGCUACCUGAAAAUUCAUAUUCUCUUGCUAUAGAAGCUCAGAUUAUAAGUUUUUCUCUGCUAAACAUAAACUUCUACGGAGAAUGAGGAAAUCACCUUAGUCCUUGACUUACUCUACGUGUACAAAAAUCAAAAGGAACUAAACCACCAGAAGAACUAGAAAAAAGGGGGAAGAAAAAGAAGCAAAGAUUAGUGAUUUUCUUCUGUUUUGAUCUUUUAAUUCUUUGAUCCCUCGCCAAAAACCUCGUUGUUGCAAACUGGACAUACCUUGUUGAUACCAAGCCACUUGGUGAUGCAAUCAGAAUGGUACACAUGCUUGCAUGGCAGUUUCAUUUGCUUGUCCCCUCUUUUGUACCUCAUCUG